GUUACAAUGAAAAAAUCUAUUCAGUAGCUUCGCUGCAAAACAUCUUUAGCUAGUCCUGUUCUAAUAACUUUUGUACAGCUGAAACGUUAGUUUUACAGGUGAACAUCUAGCAUCCCCAAAACGUUGCACAAAGACACUACAAUAAUGAUUUCUGGCAAUAUGCGGAACUCACCCUCUCUGCCGGACAGGGACAGACAGAGACGGAUUAGAACAAAUAGUAUACUACAAAGGAUCUUUGGGACAGGUUUUCAGGACAACUGCAUGGCAACGGGACGCUUCUGAAGAAACACUGCUCUCUGAUUGGUCCGCUGUGAAGCGUGCGAAAACCCAGCGAAACUCCGCGCGAGAUCCAAAGGACUGGCGCGAGAAAGACAGGAUCAUGGAGCCAACACCGACCAAGACUAUUAUUAUACACCUGCCUGGCACUGCUUAAAAACUAGCCCUCUGAGGUACAACGACACCUACCAGUACCCCCGGUGAGGCCGCAAUAUUUCUCGCUUUCUCUUCGGCCAUCUCUACAGGAUGUGGUUUCUCUACAGUCUGGCUGUAACUCCAGGAACCCUGAGACAGAGACUGAAAGUGAUGACCACUCCAGAAGAGGACCUGUUCAGAGUACCAACCGAAGAAAACACUAAACCCUGAAACAAGUCCUUCCUAAAAAGAACAUGAAUGGUGUGCUUGAACAUGACUAUUUCAGACUUUAAAAAUGGUCUGAAACAUAACAGCAUGUCGACAUUAUACAGUACAGGCCAAAAGUUUGGACACACCUUCUCAUUCAAUGCAUUUCCUU